UACAGAGGGGGCAAGCGUUGUUCGGAAUUACUGGGCGUAAAGGGCGCGUAGGCGGCCUUCUAAGUCGAACGUGAAAUCCCCGGGCUCAACCCGGGAACUGCGUCCGAUACUGGAAGGCUUGAAUCCGGGAGAGGGAUGCGGAAUUCCAGGUGUAGCGGUGAAAUGCGUAGAUAUCAGGAGGAACACCGGUGGCGAAGGCGGAUCUCUGGGCCUUGCCUGACGCUGAGGAGCGAAAGCGUGGGGAGCGAACAGG
rnacentral:rRNA from 1 species